rnacentral:lncRNA from 1 species
AGAAUAAGUGUGAAAGAAAUAGCUGGAACAUCACGAGCUUACCUGAAAUGCCAGGCCGCGUGGUAUUGUCCGGAGGAGAGACAGGUCCUUUUCUUUUUCUUCUGCCAGAAAGAGCGGCCUCGGCAGGGGUUUGUUCUACCUGGACCUCAUCUUCUUCAUCUGCAGAAGGAAGCUCCAAGUCCCCAGCGGCAAUAACAGAAGAGACUGCACCAAAGAGUUAGAGAUUAGAAACCAAUCCAGCAGGAAAAGACAG